rnacentral:rRNA from 1 species
AAUGGGCGAAAGCCUGACGCAGCGACGCCGCGUGAGUGAUGAAGGCCUUCGGGUUGUAAAGCUCUGUGGGGAGAGACGAAUAAGUGCAGGCUAAUACCCUGCAUGAUGACGGUAUCUCCUUAGCAAGCACCGGCUAACUCUGUGCCAGCAGCCGCGGUAAGACAGAGGGUGCAAACGUUGUUCGGAAUUACUGGGCGUAAAGCGAGUGUAGGCGGUCUCGUAAGUCGGAUGUGAAAGCCCAGGGCUCAACCCUGGAAGUGCACUCGAUACUGCGAGGCUAGAGUACUGGAGAGGUUGGUGGAAUUCUCGGUGUAGAGGUGAAAUUCGUAGAUAUCGAGAGGAACACCGGUGGCGAAGGCGGCCAACUGGACAGAUACUGACGCUGAGACUCGAAAGCGUGGGGAGCAAA